rnacentral:tRNA from 1 species
GGAACUCUCGUGUUCUUGCCACCCUGCGAUCUUGACUGGCAGUCAAGGGGUCAGGGGUUCGAAUCCCCUCAGCUCCA